UUUGCAGGAUAAGUGUGUAUCGGUUAAAUGCCUUUUGAUGUGCAUUUCUUACUGAAAGUGUUUCCUGCUAUAUUAAUUUGAGGAAAAUGGGCAGUUGGGUUGAGCUUGAUAAUCUCUUUCGCCAACAAUCAUUUUCCUCUCAUUU
rfam:Triticum aestivum genome assembly, contig: Triticum_aestivum_CS42_TGACv1_scaffold_062737_1DL